UGCCCGGCACUCCACAAAAUGCCGCGCACAGCAUGUAUAAGGAGGAUUUGUUCAUCCCCUGGCUCGGGGUGCGGCAGUGUGGAGACCUGUCGCAGGGCGGCGCGUCCCAAAGCGGGCGGCCGUGAGCGUACAGAAGCGGAGGCUGUGUACGCGGAGCCGGAAAACAUGGC
rnacentral:ncRNA from 1 species